UUCAUUUAAAAAAUUAAGAUUAUUUUAUUGAAUACAGACUCACUGCUGAAUCAUUUUCAUGCCGAAUUACACAGAAGGCUCUACUCAUUCAUGUUUUAUAUCAUUUUAGUCGUAUUAUGUGAUUUAACUUGUCACUGAGCUUAGAAACAAGAAUUGACACAUUUUUGAACGGAGUCUGGUGUCUCUAACUCACCGUCCAGGGAAACGAAGGAAGGCGGCUCAUUGCGAAAAACGACACUUGGAAGUCCUUUAAAAUAGCUUCAGAUUUUAAUAAUCUGUUCUCUGAGGUUUGACUCUGCUCUGAAUGCGCCAUGUUCAACGUGCUUUUGUUUACUUCCGGUUUAGCCACAAUCCACCGCGAUGAUCUGUCGCUAAAGCUACUGGGUAAUGUAGUUUCUUACUAGUUUUACGCUAUUUAAAUAGUAAAAUCAAGAAAAACGAUUAAUAUUUAUUUUUACACUUAGAAAUAUUAGUAGAAAUGUUAAUUGAAGUUAUUUAUUUUACUAUUUUUAAAAAUUUGAUUUAUUUAGCAAAUACUUCAAAAGCAACUAUUGGUAGUAAUAUUUUUUAAAUAUAUUUAGUAUUAUUACACUUUUAACUAUUACUAUUACUUCCCUUUUAUGUCUAAUUAUGGAUUUAAGUAACCAACAAACAUCUCAAAAACAACAUAUAGAUUGCAAAUGUGUAAAACAGUCAAUGCAAACAUUUCAAAGACAACAGAAAUAAAUUAGAAAAGUAUAAAACACUUCGAUUUAAAUAAAACAGUCUGGUAACACAAUAAAAAAGUAAUCCAAAAUAAAUAUGAAUACAAUAAAUAUGAUUAUUAUUUUCAAUUAUCAUGUUUAGCAUUUUUGAAAUAAUGACAAUAAUUAUUGCUACCAUAAAAUUAUAUUUAUAUGUUGUUAAAAAAUAUUGAUGCUAUUAAUUUUAAGUGAUUAUUUAUUAAAAUCUCUCUUUUUUCCAAAUUAUGAAUGAAAAAUCAAACACGUAAAACACUUAGACUGUGUAUAAAAUAUAAUACAUGAAGAAUUUUUCCAAUCUUCAGGAACUAAAAAAGAAAAUAAAUGAAUAAUGAUUAAACAUAGAUAAUUUUCUCAACUUGAAAACUGACCUUUAAGAAUCUACAUUCAUAUUUAAAUAGUAACACACACAAAGAUGUUUUAGCCUUGAAAUGGUUUAACGUUGUUAUCAGUUCAGAGUAUUUUUGUUAUUUUUAGUCUGUUGAAGGUUUUCUUGCCGCUCUUUUCUUGCUGUGUCACUGCAGGUCGAGAUAAAUCUCUUUACAGUUGGACCAACUCCUCAUUCAGGGCAGCAGCAGAACAGAGCAGUUACUGCUCAAUAUCUGACCACAGUUUCCGUCCUCCUGCUCUAUAAAACCAGCCGUCUUACUCUGAUCCCGGUUGAGGACCUCGCAGGUGAAGCCCGUCUUCCCCAUCUGGCGCCUGAUCUGGAGCCAGCGCUGCUGGGGGAAGAUGGUGCUGAGGUCCCUCAGGAAGCUCUCCAUGCCCUCCUGGCCCUCUUUGGGUAAACUCCAGGAGCCCAGCACCGACAGCUCCACCCCGCUCUGGGCCUGCAUCUGGGGGAGGAAGACGGAGGGAGGCCGAAGGUUUUUAGUUUGGUUCAUCUCCAAUGUUGUUCAGAAAAGAGACACAACUUGUUAAAGAUCAGAAGUUAGAGCUGUGAGCUGAACAUCUGGGAGUUUUAAACAUCAGCAGGUAAAUCAAACUAACGUUCACAUGCCGUCGUGGUCAAAUCAUCUACAAACACCUCCCACCUCAGCCAGACUUUCUAUCAUUAAACCACUGAGUGACUGUAAACAUUUAACCUCCUCCUGCUGCUGCACCGACCUGCUGGACGUACUGUUUGACCUGUCCGGGGAUGAAGGGGUAGUGGAUCACCGCCAGCACCACGGCCGAGUCGUGGCCGGAGAUCCAGCGGCCGACCAGCAGCCCGCUGUCGGCCCGGUUACAGCACUGAGGGAAGAAGAUCUUCAGCACCAUGACGUCUGCAGCUUCAGCCUCCAGCAGCUCCAAAGAUCUGAGAAACAAUAACCAGGAGACAGUUAAUGAUUAAAAGGUAACAGCAACCGCAAGAACGGAGCAAUGUAAGACUUCAUUUUCAUGGUAUUUGUAUUAUUUUGUUAGUCUAUUUUAAAUUACUUUAUCCUUUUGUAUUUAUUUAACAUUACUAUUUUAAAUUUUACCCUUGUUUUUAUGGUUCUACCCACUAUUUUCUCUCAUUCUGCCAAAUUUUAUAUGGAUUUUUGGUGCUUUUACUGGUGUAUUUGUGUCCAUUUGUGAUAUUGAUUUUUUAAAAAAGUAUUUUAUCCAGUUUAACUCUGCUAUAUACUAUUAUCUUCCAAAAGAUAAACAUAUUUUCUUAUGAUUUAAGCUUUGGAUUUGAACUUCUAAAUGAAAAAAUGAAGGAUAAAGACAACUGUUAUUGUUUUUAAGUCUUCUUUAAACUUCUUGAAAUUCAUUUUCUUACAGGAUUUCAUUUCAUCUUAGCUGCUUUGAAGAGUUUUUUUCAAGCAACAAGUGAGCCCCAUGAGAGCUGAACAUUAAGCUACAACAAAAAAUGUAUAUAAGGCUCAAUAUUGUUUGAAAAAUGGACUCAGUGGAAAAAGUUCCAGUACUUUCUGAAGUGUUAGAGCAAAUAUUGUUGGCAGAAAUUGAUGUUAUUGACCUGUAAGUGAGGCCUAACAAGAAAUUUGACUUUUUGAAUAUAAAUUCCACCUUUAAAUAUGUAUUUAUUAGGUUCGGUUUACUUAGUACAUGAUCUGGCUGUCUGAUGAUAUAAUACACUUGUGCUGUUUGUAUUGUUUUAUUUCUGUGUAUUUUCUUGGUGAGUUUUGUGAAUUGCAUUUUGUGCAUUUUGCUGUUCCUUAUUUAAAUCACUCAAGUAAAUUUGUAAAAUGGAAAAUAUAGUUUGACCUUAACCACAAAAUGUACACUAGUCAGAUAAAGUCGUAAUGUUAUAAAAUAACGGUUUAAAUGUGCUGUAUAAAUAAAAGGGACUUGACUUUAA